GCGGAGGAAAAGAAACCAACUGGGAUUCCCUUAGUAGCGGCGAGUGAAGUGGGAAAAGCUCAAAUUUAAAAUCUCUGCCCUUUGGGUAGCGAAUUGUAGUUUAUGAAAUUAUAUUCGUUGGUGUAAUUAUGGUUAAAAUCUCCUGGAACGAGGUAUCAAAGAAGGUGAUAAUCCUGUUUGAAGCCAUUAAUUAUAUUAACAUAUGUUUAUAAUUUCGAGAGUCGGGUUGUUUGGGAAUGCAAUCUUAAUUGGGUGAUAAAUCUCAUCUAAAGCUAAAUAUCCGCAAGAGACCGAUAGCAUACAAGUACCGUGAGGGAAAGGUGAAAAGAACUCUGAACAGAGAGUUAAAAGUACUUGAAAUUGUUAACAGGGAAACGUUUUAACCCUUGGAAUGAUCUUAGUUAAAUCAGCUGUUAGAUUCCAAAAAGAUGAAAGCAGUGCACUUUGGCUGGACAAACCAACGUUUAUUUUUAUGGGAUGAAACAUACUUUUAAUGCGGUAGUAUUUUAACCUUCGGGUUAGACUAUAGAAGCUUGAGGUAAAUAAUC
rnacentral:rRNA from 1 species